AACGAACGCUGGCGGCAUGCCUAACACAUGCAAGUCGAACGAGACCUUCGGGUCUAGUGGCGCACGGGUGCGUAACGCGUGGGAACCUGCCCUUAGGUUCGGAAUAACUCCCCGAAAGGUGUGCUAAUACCGGAUAAUGUCUUCGGACCAAAGAUUUAUCGCCUUUGGAUGGGCCCGCGUUGGAUUAGCUAGUUGGUAGGGUAAAAGCCUACCAAGGCGACGAUCCAUAGCUGGUCUGAGAGGAUGAUCAGCCACACUGGGACUGAGACACGGCCCAGACUACUACGGGAAGCAGGAGUGGGGAAUAUUGGACAAUGGGGGAAAGCCUGAUCAAGCAAUGCCGCGUGAGUGAUGAAGGCCUUAGGGUUGUAAAGCUCUUUUACACGGGAUGAUAAUGACAGUACCGGGAGAAUAAGCUCCGGCUAACUCCGUG
rnacentral:rRNA from 1 species